rnacentral:rRNA from 1 species
GACUGCCUGGGUUAACCAGGAGGAAGGUGGGGAUGACGUCAAAUCAUCAUGCCCCUUAUGUGUAGGGCUACACACGUGCUACAAUGGCUGGUACAGAGAGAUGCAAUACCGCGAGGUGGAGCCAAACUUAAAAACCAGUCUCAGUUCGGAUUGUAGGCUGAAACUCGCCUACAUGAAGCUGGAGUUACUAGUAAUCGCGAAUCAGAAUGUCGCGGUGAAUACGUUCCCGGGUCUUGUACACACCGCCCGUCACACCAUGAGAGUUGGCAAUACCCGAAGUCCGUGAGCUAACCGUAAGGAGGCAGCGGCCGAAGGUAGGGUCAGCGAUUGGGGUGAAGUCGUAACAAGGUAGCCGUAGGAGAACCUGCGGCUGGAUCACCUCCUUUCUAAGGAA